rnacentral:ncRNA from 1 species
CCUGCUGAGUUUAAGCAUAUCAAUAAGCGGAGGAAAAGAAAUUUACAGGGAUUUCCCUAGUAACGGCGAGCGAACCAGGAACAGCCCAGCCUUAGAAUCGGGCGGCUCCGUCAUCCGAAUUUUAGUCUGGAGAAGCGUCCUCAGCGGCGGACUGGGCCCAAGUCCCCUGAAACGGGGCGCCGGAGAGGGUGAGAGCCCUGUCGUGCCCGGACCCUGUCGCACCCCGAGGCACUGUCUACGAUUCGGGUUGUUUGGGAAUGCAGCCCAAAUCGGGCGAUGAAUUCCGUCCAAGGCUAAAUACUGGCGAGAGACCGAUAGCGAACAAGUACCGCAAGGGAAAGAUGAAAAGCACUUUAAAAAGAGAGUCAAAGAGUGCUUGAAAUUGUCGGGAGAGAAGCGGAUGGGGGCCGACGAUUAUCCCCGAUCGGAUGUGGAAC